rnacentral:lncRNA from 1 species
ACGUGUGUGUAUAUGUAUACAUUCAAUAUAUAUUGUAUAGUCAGUGUACAAAGUAACACUUUUAGACUCUAAACUCCACGUUUUGAGAAUGCAUUUGUAAAUGGAUUGGAAAGUUCAGGUGGCUUUGUACAGAACGCUUUUGUGAGACAACAGUGACCGACAGGGAGAGAGCCACUUACUUCCCAUUUAUUUCUUCUUUAUCACCCCUGUAAAGUAAUCAAGUACUCGAUGAUGAGGAAGUCUCUUUUAAAACAUUGGUUGCCACAAAAUUAGACUUUCUUAUGGUUUCUCUUGGAAGAGACAGGUGGGAAAAUCACGUGUGGAGCGUAAGCAGAGAUGUCAGAUCCAAGUGUGUCCUGCUUUCGUGGACGUCCGUGGACUGUUCACGCGUUACCAUGAAGUUCUAUUAUACAUAUUUUAAAUUGUUUAUAGUAAGUUGAUAUUUUUUUAAUUUUUAAAUUUAAUAUAGCAAACUUAAAAUGAAUUUAAACUUAUGAAACAAGUGUUUAUUUUCUUUGUGUCUGCUCUUUGAAGUAAUUCGCACAGCUGCAGAUCUCUGUAUAUCUACCUAUAUUUUUUUUAUUACUUGAGAGGAAGAACUUUAACAGGUCAGUGCCAGUGUCAGUGCCCUUGGAUUGCACGAUAGCUCCCCUGAGUCUGACUGGGGAGAGGGACUGAGGGAGGCAGGGUGAGCCCUGUGCACGGAGCACCAGACAGAGCGCCUGCGCCAUGCCUGCCGUCUCCUCCACUAGAGUAGAUGCGAAAGUACCCAGGGGAAAAAACUCACAACCCAAACGUCAACAUAAAUCUUAGUAUGCUAUGUGAAAACUUACAGAGGGGAAUUACUGACAACUGACUCUUCCAAAUUUUACCCAAAAUAUUGGGUAUGAAACAAAUUGCACUAUAAAAUAUGUAUCUGAAAUAUGGUUUAAUGGGGUAUUCUGUUAAUACUAUAUAUAGAGAGAUUCAAAGUAUUUUUGGAAGCAGAAAAAUAGUAACCGUCUAAAAGUGCAUCCAGAGAGAAUUUCCCAUAUUGAGGAACUUAGUUUUUUCAGUAAGCUUCAGGAUCUGAAGUUCAUGGAAUCUCAAAUGUAAACUAUACAUGAUCAGACAAUAAACUCAAUGUUUAAACACCAGGAGUAUUAAAUUGACUUAAAAUACAUUUUUAAUUAUAUUAUUUCUAAAACCACUUUUUUUGAAUAAUUUCUCAUAAAAAAAGGCAUCCUUUGGCCUCUGGAAUUAAUUAUUCAUGUAUUUUCAGUGUAUGUAUAUACAUUUGCAAGGGUUGUCAUUUGUAAAGGAAGGCUAGCCAUUUUAAAACGAAGAAAAAAGGGGUGGUCCCAAACCUGAUGUUUAAAGCAAGUGGAGUCCAUGAUGCUUGACCUGGAAAUAAAAUAACUUAAGCGCCCCAAGACUCAGCAGUUCAGCCGCAGAAAAGCUGCCUUUCAGUCCCUGCCACCACUGAGUAGCCAGGCUGAAGCAUUUUUUUUCACAGCUUUUGCCCUCUGGCAAGUUGUGGGGAGAGCAUAAAAUGUGAAUCUUGAGUUCAGUUGGUUUGAGGCUGAACUUACUUACUUGAAAACACUGGUGCUAUGCGCGCAUACCUACGGCUCCUGUCGAUCCACUUGGCCUCGCGGCCUCACUGCUUCACAUUCUCCAAGUCACUGAGAAGUACAUCCAGUCUCUUCAGAGACUGAGAAUGUUCCAAAGGAGGUGUUUGGCACUGGUGGUAAACAUGCCCUCUAACAAGAUUUGGGCUCUCGUCCGUGCUUUCUUCUUUCUUCCCUCACGAGAGCAGUUUGCACUGCUGCCUCCAGUUUCUGUAAUGCAAACUGUGUGGUUUGUUGGAUUCAGAUGUCUGCCAAGCACAGAGAGGCAAAGCUGGCCCUCACACUCACUCGGAAAGCUGAGCAUGACUUCUGCCUCCCGCCCUUCCCUGAGUUUUGUUCUCUGUCUCUGAAUAAAGUUAUAUUUUUCCUGCUUUUAAUCCCCAGGAAUGUUACUGUAUGAAGAUAAUCUUUAAAAAUAAUACCUAAACAUGGACUAGAACUCAGUCAGUCCUGCUCCAAAGAAAACUAAAAUAAGGAUUGUCUUUUGAAACAAUUUAAUCCAAGCUGUUUUUCAGUUUUUUUAUUUACCAUACAUUUUGGAAUAUUAUGGCCAAUAAUGUUGGAAAGUGGUGUCCUUUCCCUCUACUCCUUAUUUUCCAUUCUUAGUGUUGCUUAUGUUUAAAUUGUUGGAAAUAAACCAUGCUCUUGUUAAUAUAGUUUAAGACUCUCAUUAGGUUUGAAUGUUCCUGUGUAUGUACAUAUACUUUAAAUAGUCAGCGUUCCCUCCUGUCACCAGAUGUCACAGUAUGUAGCUGUUCAUCUUCUGGUUUUGUUCUCUUUUCUGUUUUUUUCUAACCUUUAAACCCCCAACACUAUCAACUUAUCUUACUAUAAGGUUGUCUAGUAUGUCUUCCCAUUUUUGUACAUAGAGAAGUGACCCUGAAAAUGUUGGUUCAGCAUUUUAGGCAAUAAAUACUUAUUUUUACUUCAUGCUGAUAAUUAUUAUUUAUUGGUGCAACUAACAAGCAUUGUCUAUUCCUAUAUAUAACUUGCGUAGUGUUUUAACUUAUAGAAGGGAAAUGCUUCUUUUAAAAAUGGGCAGUAGUUCAGCCUUAUCUUAUUUCUUCCACCAUAGUUUACAAACUGCUUUUAGGCGCUUCAUGUCAGAAUGAGAAGGGAAGAGUGAGCAGGCUCGGAGGCUGCGACUCCUGUGUGCUUAGUGUGCUUGUCCCUUUUAGACCCAGCACAAAGCUUUCUGCGAACCCCAGCAGCUGCCUCCUUCAUAGACACCAACAUCCUGA